GGUUUGCAAUCAGCUCCAUAUUACAACAUGCCAGGCCAAACUCCUCAUGGUGCUUAUUUGCCUUCUCAUACUGGGCACGCUUCCUUCAGUGCAGCUGUGGCGCAGUCUACACACAUGCAAUUCCCCGGAUUAUACCAUCCAACUCCGCAGCCUGCUGCUAUUGGAAAUCCUCAUCACAUGGGGCCUGGUAUGGGUGGGAAUGUUGGAGUGGCCGCAGCCACUCCUGGGCCACAAGUUGGUACUUUCCAGCAGCCACAGUUGGGUCAUCUU
rnacentral:misc_RNA from 1 species